rnacentral:lncRNA from 1 species
AGAGCCAGGCCGCCUCAGUUCCUUCGAAGAUGUGUUUGAAAACUUCAUUCUUCUUUCGAGUGUAUCAUCCUAUGGGCUGCAGAAGGCCUUGUGCCUCGAGAAAUGUGAAAUUAAAUCCAGAGAAAAGCAGACACCUGCCCCAGAAAGGUGGGGGAGAAGUAUGAGCUGCUUAGCACUUGGACGCGGCCCUUCCCCAGGGCUGGAUUCUUCUGUCCGUGGGAGCUCUGAGCUCCAGGUCCGCGAAAAGAAAGGCACGACAUGUCAGGAGAAGAUGCGGCUGGCGGGCUGUCUGUGCGCUCCCCAAGGCCCAGGGAAAGUCACGCGCCUAGCACAGGGGACGCAGGGCCGAAGCCGGGAGAAGGCGGUUCUGCCCGCCACCCAGCCCCUUGGCUCGCGGUUGCGGAG